UACAGGGGGUGCAAACGUUGCUCGGAAUUAUUGGGCGUAAAGCGCGCGUAGGCGGCUACUUAAGUCGGAUGUGAAAGCCCCUGGCUCAACUGGGGAAGUGCACCCGAAACUGAGUGGCUUGAGUGCGAAAGAGGGUCGCGGAAUUCCCGGUGUAGAGGUGAAAUUCGUAGAUAUCGGGAGGAACACCGGUGGCGAAGGCGGCGACCUGGGUCGACACUGACGCUGAGGUGCGAAAGCUAGGGGAGCGAACGGG
rnacentral:rRNA from 1 species